rnacentral:rRNA from 1 species
ACGGAAGGCAGCAGUGGGGAAUAUUGCACAAUGGGGGAAACCCUGAUGCAGCGACGCCGCGUGAGUGAAGAAGUAUUUCGGUAUGUAAAGCUCUAUCAGCAAGGAAGAAAAUGACGGUACUUGACUAAGAAGCCCCGGCUAACUACGUGCCAGCAGCCGCGGUAAUACGUAGGGGGCAAGCGUUAUCCGGAUUUACUGGGUGCAAAGGGAGCGUAGACGGUAAUGCAAGUCAGAAGUGAAAGCCCAAGGCUCAACCAUGGGACUGCUUUUGAAACUGUAAUACUAGAGUGCAGGAGAGGUAAGUGGAAUUCCUAGUGUAGCGGUGAAAUGCGUAGAUAUUGGGAGGAACACCGGUGGCGAAGGCGGCUUACUGGACGAUUACUGACGCUGAGGCUCGAAAGCGUGGGGAGCAAACAGGAUUAGAUACCCUGGUA